UGAGGAAUACCGGCGAGAAAUCGCCGACAAGACCGCAUACGCUCGUUUGGGAAGACGAGCGAAGCAAAGCCUUGUCGCGAGAGCGGGAGGGGUGCUGGAAGAUGGGCCUGUGGCCGAUUAGCUGGUUGGUGAGGUAAGGGCUCACCAAGGCGACGAUCGGUAGCUGGUCUGAGAGGACGAUCAGCCACACUGGGAUUGAGAACGGCCCAG
rnacentral:rRNA from 1 species